GAGAGGAAGCAGACUUGCCGCGAGGGCGCGCCCCCGGACGGGCAUUGGGCGCGUGCGCGCGCGUUCCAGGGACUCCGAGUCUUUUGGGUGCCCCCACCAGGUCGGACCUGAGCGUUUUUCCGUGCAAUUACUUGAGUCGGCUGCAUCUUCUCUCCGCCCUUCUCUGUAAAGUGGAGACGUGGAGGAGUGCCUGGUCAAUUUUCCAAAAUGUUAAUGGAAAGACAGUCUGAUGAAAAGCUUUCUCCUGAAGAGAAGGAGAUGAUCCAGAAAAUAUGGCAUGAGCAAAAACAGGGAAACAAGACUGCGGGUACAUUCUAAGGGCCAGCAUCCAGAGAGCAACUACUUGCCUACCCAUCCUAAAGUGAAACAUGAUAUUCAGCAUUUCUGGCCCUGCCCUCCUUAAGCUAGCUAGCUAUUCACAAUUUCCACGCAGCAGAGAAACCUGGAAGACAUCCUACUUGCUAAAAGUAAAGGAAAACCACAUCAGUGAUGAGUCCUUUAUAUGUAUGAAUAUGCAAUGAAGAAUCAACAGGCAAAUCAGGAAAACCACCACUGUGAAAGAGGAAGACAAACAGAAUAACUAACUCUAAAGGAAUCAGUUAACGGAAUUCAUGAACUAAAAAACAAACAAACAAAAAAAAAACCUUUUAAAGCACCCUGGUUUAUAUACUCCAGUAUUCAGAAUAUAUUGGAUCUGUAAGAAACAAAGUACUCUGAAAAAGGAGCAACCAUAGUAUGAAAUAGAGCUCUGAGACACUAAAAAUAUGAUUCCUUAAAUAAAAAAUUCACUGGAAAUUUUGAAGAUAAAAAUCAAAGAAAUAUAAAACAGAGGAUAUAAAGACAGAAACAGAAAAUAUGAAAAAAAAAAAAAGAAGGAGUCAUUGCAGGGCCAAUCCAGCUGACUAAUAUUCAGUCAGGAGAAGAGAAAGAGGUUUUUUUUGUUUUUGUUUUUGUUUUUUUAAGUGAGAAAAAAUCAAGAAUAAAAACUAAUAAUAAUAAUAAUAAUAAUAAUAAACCUAUAAAAGUUUCCAAACAUAAAAGGCAUUUACCAACAAAGGAACAAAAAUCAGACCUAUCAGCAGCAUUGGAUACAAGAGGACAAUUACAGAAUAUUUUCAAAGUUUUAAUGGUAGAUUUUUUUUAGUCUAGAAUUCUGUACUCAUUCAAAUUGUCAGUUACCAAAAAGAGCAAAGUAAAGAUAUUUUCAGAUCAAGUAGGAUGAAAAACAAUGGAACACUUUCCUCUCUCUGUGAUGUUUUAGGAAGUUACCAUAUCACUCCGUCAAAAUAAGGGCAAAAACCAGAGGAAACCAUGGAAUUCUGGAAAAGGGUAUCAAUCCUAAAAAAAAAAAAAAAAAAAAAAAAAAAAGGCAAAGAAAAAUUCCCAGAAGAGGACUGUGCAGCAUGUCUAGAGAGUCAAGGAAAGUGGAGACUGAAUAAAUGUCCUUGGAGAUUUAGGUGACUGGUGAAAUGGAAGCACUUGUAGUAACCUGAUAAAGAUGGAAUCACAUGACACAUGUAAGGAAUAAAGUAAGGAUUAAAUGAGAAAUGAGAAAAUGAAAACACUGAUAAUAGUCAUUUUUGUCUAAAAAAAGCAGAGAAAUGCAUGGAAGAAAUAUUAAUGUCCAAGAAAGACUUUUGCCUGUGUGUGUUUUUUUGAGAUAGAAGGAGGACGGGGUGAUAGAAGGAAAGAACCUUUAAGAAAAAGAUGAGAUGAGUAAGAUAAUAUUGAAGAUACACAUGGGUAAGUUUAUUCUUAACCCUGAUAGAAGGACAUUUUUCUGUGAGGACAGAAAUAGAAUGCUUGAAUAUACAGGAAGAGUUUAAGGUAUUGAGAUAUGUAUAGCCAUAUAAACUUCAAAGUUGAAUAUAUAAAAUAAAAGUUAUUCAUAUUUUGGCAGCCUUGAAAUUAUGAAUUAUUGUUCAGUAGAUUAAUAUUUUUAACUCUUUAGUAUAAUUAGAUACAUUAAAUUUUCAGAAAAUAUUACAAAGUGCAGACAAAAGCCAAUUUCAAGGAGGCAGUCAAGAUUAGAUAUUAAAAAGCAGCAAUACUCAAAGUCAAUAUAAAAUAUGUAAUGAAAACUAGUCACACAGUUCUUUUUAGUUAUUUUAACUUGACAUCCAGUUGAUUACCCAAAUGCCAGGUAACACUCCAUGAUUAAGUGUGAGUAUGCAUAUGAGUGUAUGUUUGUGUGUGUGAAUGGGACUUUGGGGGGAAAGAUUAGAGGUAGUUACCUUCAAAACAAAUCAUUUUUAACUAGCCUUUUGAUAUUAGAAGCUAGGUUUGGUUUUCUUAUACAAACAAGUAAUCUACCCAAAGUUUGGAACCAAACACGGUUUAUUCCUUAAAGUAUUGUGUGGGAAGGGAAGAAUCAUUCUGUGCCAAAUGUCACCAUUCUGUGAUUACCCCAUGGAUAAGGUGGGGAACUGGUUAAGCUAUAUAUAUAAUGAGACCCAGAAUAACAGUAGCUUAAACAAUGGAUGUCUUAAGCAUCUUACAGGCUACAUGGGUAUCCUGAAAUAUUGUCCUUUCUUGAUGUAUUAUUCAUCCAGGGACAUGGGAACCUUCUCAUUAAUCUGACAUUUCUAGGGUGUUGUCCUCACUUAAUAGUCCAAGAUGACUCACAGUCAUGACCUUAUUCCAAGUAGCAGUCCAAUGGAGGAGGAGGAACCAAAGACAGCUGAAAGUACACCUACCGCAGUCACCUGGCCAUACUUAGUUGCAAGGAAAGCUGGGAAAUGUAGUUUUUAUUUUAGACAACUCUAUACUAAGUUAAAUAAUCAGGAGGUAAGAACUGUUGGAGACAAAUGUUUUACCUAGAAUGCUUUUCCUGUUCCAUUAAAGCAAAAAAACUGGUACUAAAGAGAUAAGAAUAGCUUCUCUUCACUUAUCAGAACUGAGCCACAGGGAACAGAACAAUAUGUCAACAAUAACUUUUAUCUCUUUCUAGCAUGUAAAAAGUGAGCUAGUAAAAAAAUGGGAAAAUGAAAUCCUGAAUAGUAAUUACUUUAAGGAUUAAUUUUUCCUGAAGUUUAAACUAUUCUUAAGUGUGUUCAAUAUGGUUAAAGUGAAGUUUUCAUUCCUUUUGCCCACAAGUAAUUAAGCAUAUAUCACAAAACCCACACUUUGCUAAGCAGUGUGAAACUUUCCAAAGAAAAAUGUGAUAUGAUCGUUAGUCUCGAGGAGCUUAGAGGAACUUACAGUUUGGGUAGAGGAAAAAUUUAACACCCACAGACUGUUUGAGAACAGUUAAAUGCUGUGCUGUGUGAUUAUUUUGUAAGUCAAAAGGAAUUCAAAGUAUAGAUAAGACACCACUGGCUGUGAGACAUUAAAAACCUUUGUGGAAAUUGUAUAGAUUGAACUGGACAAAUAAAAAUAAAUAGAAUUUAUUUAUAAAACCUUUCAUAUGCAAAAUCAUGAAAGGUUUAUUUAUAGAGUUGAUCCUAGAGGAUAAAGACAUGUUGAAUCUUAAAGUGCAAGCUGUUGCUGAUAAUUGCUUAAAGGCUAAAAAUGGCUGAUUCAGUCAUCUAUAAGCAGGUGUCAUUUCUAUUUUUUACUUUAUGCUGUAUCCCCAAAUACUAACAGGAUACCUGACACAUAUUAGACACCAAGUAAAUAUUUUUCUCGUAUCCUCAGUGUUUCUUUUAUUAUGUGGCUAAGGAUUUCAUAUUGUUGUUGAGGUACAGCUUUUUGAAAAACUAGAAAUGUACCAAAAGUGUACAAAUCUUAAUUGUAUAGUGUCGUAUACCACCUCAUGCAACUACUACCCAAGUCAAGUCAAAGAACUCCCUGGAAUACUCUUAUGACUCUUAUGACUCUCUUAGUCAGUACUCAAAUCCCAUCCCCCCACUCCAGCCACUCCAAAGGAGCCACUAUUCUGACUUCUAUCAACAUAGAUUAUAUUCCUAGCUUUGAAAUUCAUAUAAAUAAAUUAAUAGAGUAUGUUACUUAACAUUUUUUUUUCAGGUUGUUGCUACCCUGGCCUUAAUUUGUGAGGCUUGUUGAUAUUUGGAGAUAUUUCCACCAUCUAAAGUCUUUUCUUAUGGGAAAGCCCUAUAAACAUAUAGAAAAGACAUUUAUUAUGUAGUAAUAUAUACCAGAGUUGUCACUGAUCUUUAAACUUCAAAGACAGGUUGUGCUUACUUUAAGGGUAGACAAGGCCAGUAUAACUCCAUCCUGUACUAUUAACCUAGUACGGCUUGAUACUUCCAAAAUGGCAGUCAAGUUAACUUGCUGUGACUUUUUUACUCAAACAAAUCUGGGGAUCCCUUAUGAGAAGUUUAGGUCAACUACAGAGUUAGAGGCACAGUCCUUAUUCAAAACCCCCCUCACUCUGACUCUAAUUACAAGUUUGCAAGGGUCGGGGGAGGGUGUUCCCAAACUACCUGUUUUAAUAGUUUGUUAGAAAGAGUCAAAGUACUCAUGGAAAACUGUUAUACUCAUGGUUAAGGUUUGUUAAAGGGAAAGGAUACAGAUUAAGAUUAGUCAAAAGAAGGUACACACAGAGCAGAGUCUAGGAGGGUUUCAAAUGCAGUUUGAGUUGUCUUCUAGCUGUGGAGUCAGGACAUAGUACUGUCACAGCACUGAUGUGUGACAACAUGCACAGAGUGCUUCCAGUCAGGAAGGCUCACAUGAGGUUGGUGUCCUGAGUGUUUUGGUUUUGUUUUGUUUGGGGGGUGGUGAGGGGCGGGUGCUCAUCAUGUAGGCAUGAUUGCCCACUUACUUCAAGUUUUCUGGUGUACUGAUACUAUGUGAUCCAAAGCCCCCACUCUAAGUCACAUUGUUCGCCCUCUGGACUAUGUGGGUGUGGCCAGGCCUCAACCUAAGACUAUAUGAUGUGGCCUGGCCCCACCCUAAAUCGUAUUAUUAGAUUAGCUGGUAUUACGCAAGGCCCUCAGGCAAACAGCAGCAAAGGCCAGGCCUUCUCUUUGGGCAAAAGCCAAUCUUUUCUCACUGGAGAAUGUGUUAUUUCUAAAACCUAAAAUUAAAUUGUUUCUUCAAAAAAUUGUUUCUCAAUGAUUAAUUUCAUGAGUUUUUAUCUUUUUAAAUAUUCUGAAUUAUUGUGAAACAUAUUUGACAAGAGAGUUAAGAUUGGAGCAGAAGUACUACACAUUUUCCUUUCCCACAAUUGUCCAAUAUAUAUAAAUACGAGGGUUCUACCAAGAUUACUGACUUGUAGUGCAUUCUUUUGAAAGUUGGGCAACAACUACAAAAUAAAACAGUUUUCUGGGUGAUUAUAUUGUCAGAACUGACAAUGACUAAAAAAAAAGGCUGAGUUAGCAACAUUUCUGUGAUUUAGAGGCUUGAGGAUUGGGUAAGUAUACAAGGCUCCCCUAUAAAGAAUGUUAAUUCUUCCUCAAAACUUCCAUAAAGAGGAAUGAAAUUAUCUAAAAUUUCUCUAUAUUUUGGACAGUUUUCUCUUUACAUGAGUGUGUUGAGAAAUCAUCUUUGAGGAGCUAAUACCAUGAUGGUUUAAAAUGAAAUUAAAAGAUUGAGAGGUUAAGGUACCACUUACUAUGAAUUUCAAAUAUCCGUUACUAUUUUGAUAGGGUUAGCUCUAUUCAUAGUUUAAUAUGAGUUAGAAUCUUGUUGUCAUUUUUUCUAGUUAAGAUAUAGUAAGACACAGGACUUAAGUUGAUGAAAUAGGCUGGAAACUGAAAUGCCUGCCAUCCUAGCAGGACCAGAGCAAUUGAAGUCAAUCAAAUCACAGGUGGGGCCAGUAGUAUAGAGUCAUUUGUUAGAAAAUACAAGGUUCAAGUCAGGCAUAAGAUUCUGAUUUCUUAGGCUCAAGAAGCUUGGACUAAAAGCUAUGUUUAGCUAACGCUGUAGAUUGAAGUUUCAUUCAACCUUUAUUCAACUGAUAUACUGUACAUUGACCACCUACUACAGGUCAGCCAGCAAGACAAACACUGUUGGUUUUUAGGGAUGAUAGCUAACAUUCAUUGCCAUUACCACCUGUUUGCGAGGCAUUGUGCUAAGCACUUCUUCUACAACUCCAUUAUUCUCACUUUUAUUAACUAGGUUUCACAGGUAAGAAA